GAAACAUCGCUUCCGUGCGAUCGCGGAAGUUAAGCAACGUCGAGCCUGGUCAGUACCUAGAUGGGUGACCAAUUGGGAAUGAAAGGCACUGUA